UACGUAGGUGGCAAGCGUUGUCCGGAUUUAUUGGGUUUAAAGGGUGCGUAGGCGGCUUUGUAAGUCAGUGGUGAAAUAUGGCAGCUUAACUGUCAAGGUGCCAUUGAUACUGCAGAGCUUGAGUACAGAUGAGGUAGGCGGAAUUGACGGUGUAGCGGUGAAAUGCUUAGAUAUCUGGAGGAACACCGGUGGCGAAGGCGGCGUUCUGGACUGUCUCUGACACUGAAGUACGAAAGCCAGGGGAGCAAACGGG
rnacentral:rRNA from 1 species